rnacentral:rRNA from 1 species
AGAGUUUGAUUAUGGCUCAGAACGAGCGCUGGCGGCGCGUUUUAAGCAUGCAAGUCGAGCGGCAAGGGUCUUCGGGCCCCUAGAGCGGCGGACGGGUGAGUAACACGUGGACAAUCUGCCCCCCGGCCGGGGAUAGCCCAGGGAAACCUGGAUUAAUACCGGAUGAGACGGGACCCGCGGAGGCGGGAUCCGGGAAAGGCGCUGCGGCGCCGCCGGGGGAUGAGUCUGCGUCCCAUUAGCUUGACGGCGGGGUAACGGCCCACCGUGGCGACGAUGGGUAGCCGGCCUGAGAGGGUGGACGGCCACAUUGGAACUGAGACACGGUCCAGACUCCUACGGGAGGCAGCAGCUAAGAAUCUUCCGCAAUGGGCGAAAGCCUGACGGAGCGACGCCGCGUGAACGAAGAAGGCCGUGAGGUUGUAAAGUUCUUUUCGGGAGGGGGAACAACCGUGGCAGGGAAUGGCCGCGGGAUGACGUGAAUCCCGGAAUAAGCCCCGGCUAACUACGUGCCAGCAGCCGCGGUAACACGUAGGGGGCGAGCGUUGUUCGGAAUCAUUGGGCGUAAAGGGCGUGCAGGCGGUCCUGCAAGUCCGGCGUGAAAGACCCCGGCCCAACCGGGGGGGCGCGCUGGAAACUGCAGGGCUUGAGUACAGGAGGGGAUGCCGGAAUUCCAGGUGUAGGGGUGAAAUCUGUAGAUAUCUGGAGGAACACCAAUGGCGAAGGCAGGCAUCUGGCCAUGUACUGACGCUGAGACGCGAAGGUGCGGGGAGCAAACAGGAUUAGAUACCCUGGGUAGUC